GGGCGGUUAGCUCAGCUGGUUAGAGCGCACGGUUUACAUCCGUGAGGUCAUAGGUUCAAUCCCUUUACCGCCCACCA
rnacentral:tRNA from 1 species